GGCAGCCACGCCGCGGUCUGGGACUGUCCUGAAGGUGAAUUCCAGUGCCCCGGAAGAAAUGACAGGCAGCGGAGUCCUGCCAUCUCCUCCGAAAAAUGAAGCUGCUGAAAAGAAAAUAGAAAGAAUCACAAAGACCUCUGCCUUAGAAGUGUACAGACUCUGAGAAGCCAAGCUGUUUACCACAGCAGACUGGGGACCGCUCAACCUAGGGUCUGCUGUGGGAUGAGAUCAACUACCAUUGCCAUGUUGUUUGCUGUUUGGAGCUGGUAUGAUUCUAGUUUGGUUGGAAGGCUGCAGGGUACAUGCUUGGUUUAAUGGAGGUCAUGGCUAUUGCUAGAGAGCCUAGAAGUCACUGCUCCACUGAAGGCUGUUGAGUAUAGUUCCCUGUGCCAUAUGUCACUCAAGUCGUGCCUGACCCUUUGCGACCCCAUGGACUGCAGCAUGUCUGACCUCCAUAUCCCUCACCAUCUCCUGGAAUUUGCUCAAGUUCGUGUUCCUUGCCUCAGUGAUGCCGUCCAGCCGUCUCAUUCUCUGAUGUGCUCUUCUCCGUCUGCCCUUGAUCUUUCCUAGCAUCAGGGACUUUUCCAGUGAGUCGUCUCUGCAUGUCAGGUGAUCAAAAUACUGGGGCUUCAGCUUCAGUUAUUCCAGUGAAUAUUCAAAUAAACAUCUUA